GGAGAGUCAAUGCCUCCAACCCGCUGCAAACAAGCCCGAAGCACCAUUGUCCCUCUGCAUGAGGCAGUGAGGUCCCUGCAAGUCACGGCUGCUGCAGGAGUGCACACAGGAUGGUGAGGUAGUCUGGCCCAUGACCCAGGGCCUGGUACAGCAGGGUCUUCGUUUCUCCCUGGCCAUCUGCACUUUCCUGUCCAUGGGCUGGAACAGUGACAGACAGAAGCUGCCUUUCCGGACCUCAGCAAAUGUGCUGGGGCAAGGCCAUGGACUAGGGCACCAGGAUCCUUCUGUGCCCCCAACAGAUUCCUUUCAUGAGCUCAGUGUCUCUGCCACCUGUCUGAGCAGCUCCUAAAUUAGCAGCUCAAACCUCCUCCACCACACAAAAGCCAGUCUGUGCAUCCUGUUCAGACAGUGGCUCUUUCCCGACCAUCCUUCUUAAAAAAGGCACCACUAAUCCCCAUCUCAUUGGAAACUUUACCUCCCUCUGCUUUUUCUCCAAAAUUCUCAGCACAGUCUACGUAAACUGUUCAUUUUAUAUAUUUAUGUCUCCAUCAUCCCCUCCCCACACUAGACUGGGAGCUCUGUGGGGGCACAGACGUAUCUGUUUUGAUUACCACCAUAUCCCACACAUCUAAAGCAGCGCCAGGGCACACAGUAGGCUCCUGAAUAUCUGCUGAAUGAAUGAACACAGAAAUGAGGAAGGUAUUUCCUGCAAGCAACCUCAUCUCAGUCGUCACAGAAGAAGCUGUCGUUGUGUAGAAACCCACGCACAAGAAGGUGCUAUCACUGCCCCACCCCUGUCCGUCCCUGCUACCAUCGAGGGUGUCUUUCAUUGUUGCAUUUUAAAUGAGAAAAGACAGUGUCUAACAUGAACAGAAGGAGCUCUAUCGUGGAUAUUUUAGGUCAGGGUGGGUGGGGGAGAUCAUUUUGAGCAGAGAGCUUUCCUGAGUGUCCAGGGGCCCACCUCCAUCAUCUGCCCCAGCCUCUAGCAGUAACAGUGUGAAAGAGCUCUCACAGGCUCUGUUGCAUGCCAGUAUAGAAGUCAUGGGGCUGCAUCGCACACCUAGAGGUAAACUCAUUUGCUGGGUGUGAUCAGAGCACCUGGCCACUGCAGCUCAACAGAUCCCCUGUCUUGAUGAACCAGCUCUGAACCCACUGGGCAGUUACAUUGUUGGCUAUUUGCAUGUGCUUUCUUAGGAUUUCAUUUCCCUCUUCCUCUCCAAUUCUGCCACGAGCCUGAAACUGGACUUUUGAAAUUGCCUCCUAACUGGUCUUCCUGCCGCUGGUACCUCAUCUACAUACAUCUAGAAUGAUCUUCCUAUAGGACAAAUGGGAUCACUUCAAUCAUCUUAGUUCACUUUAAUGCUUAUUGAGCAAGGUCUGGUGGAUAUAAAAAGGGGAACCAGAGUGGCCGUGGUGGCUCAUGCUUGUAAUCCCAGCACUUUGGGAGGCCGAGGCGGGUGGAUCACAUGAGGUCGGGAGUUCGAGACCAGUCUGACCAACAUGGAGAAGCCCCAUCUCUACUAAAAAUACAAAAUUAGCCGGGUGUGGUGGCACAUCCCUGUAAUCCCUGCUACUCAGGAGGCUGAGAGAGGAGAAUCGCUUGAACCCGGGAGGCAGAGGUUGUGGUAAGCCGAGAUCGUGCCAUUGCACUCCAGCCUGGGCAACAAGAGCGAAACUCCGUCUCAAAAAAAAAACAAAAGGGUGGGGGUGGGGGAACCAGAGACAUCCCUAUUGUGAUGGUUAAUUUGAGUGUCAUCUUGAUUGGAUUGAAGGAUACAAAGUAUUGUUCCUGGGUGUGUCUGAGAGGGUGUUGCCAAAGGAGAUUAACAUUUGAGUCAGCGGACUGGGAGAGGCAGAUCCACCUUCAAUCCGGGAGGGCACCAUCGAAUCAGCUGCCAGCACAGCUAGGAUAAAAGCGGACAGAGGAACGUGGAAGCACUAGACUGGCUGAGUCUUCCAGUCUUCAUCUUUCUCCUGUGCUGGAUGCUUCCUGCCCUCAAACAUUGGACUCCAAGUUCUUCAGCUUUUGGACUCUUGGGCUUACACCAGUGGUUUGCCAGGGGCUCUCGGGCCUUCGGCCACAGACUGAAGGCUGCACUGUCGGCUUCCCUACUUUUGAGGUUUUGGGACUCGGACUGGCUUCCUUGCUCCUCAGCUUGCAGAUGGUCUAUUGUGGGACUUCACCUUGUGAUCACGUGAGUCAAUACUCCUUAAUAAACUCCCUUUCAUAUAUGCAUUUAUACUAUUAGUCCUGUCCCUCUAGAGAAUCCUAAUACACCUGUCUUCAAAAAAAGCAGCUCUAGAAGUUUGAUGACUCCCCACAAUUGCAGGCUCCUCAGUCUGCAAACAUGCUCUUUCACCGGCUGCCCCUGCUUGUUUCUCCAGCUCGUUUCCAGCCAUUUUCUCAUGUGCAUUCUCCACCCCAGCCAUGCCUGCUACCAGGACCACUGGAAUAUUCUGAACCUCUUCCCCCUCGCUUCCUGUUUAUCUGUAAUGUCUCAAUCCAAACUUCUUCUCCUGGCUGCACUGAAUUUUUAGUCCGGAAUAAGUUACAUUCCUUCUCUGAUGUACAGUUGUCCUGGACAAAAUGC
ensembl:lncRNA novel transcript